rnacentral:rRNA from 1 species
UACGAAGGGGGCUAGCGUUGCUCGGAAUCACUGGGCGUAAAGGGUGCGUAGGCGGGUCUUUUAAGUCAGGGGGUGAAAUCCUGGAGCUCAACUCCAGAACUGCCUUUGAUACUGAGGAUCUUGAGUUCGGGGAGAGGUGAGUGGAACUGCGAGUGUAGAGGUGAAAUUCGUAGAUAUUCGCAAGAACACCAGUGGCGAAGGCGGCUUACUGGUCCGGAACUGACGCUGAGGUGCGAAAGCGUGGGGAGCAAACAGGG